rnacentral:misc_RNA from 1 species
CUCCCCUCGAGCGCGGUUGGCCCCUAGCGGGCCGGCCGCCGCCCGGUGUUGGGGCACUGCGGGCCACGGCGCCCGCAGGCCCUCAAAUGAAGUGGCGGUCCCGCCGCGGCGCCCCCUGCGUAGUAGUAAAGCACCUCGCAUCGGGUCCCGGCGAAGACUAGCCGUCGAACCUAUCUCUUGAUG